AUCAGAGUUGAAUUGCUAGCUGACCUUUGAUGGACAUGUAGAAGGAGCAAGAAAUGAACCUUGCUCUGGAUAUUACAAUUUCAUGAGGACUGGAGUUGGUGUAACUGGAACCUGACUUUUCCAAGUCUCAGGCAGAAGAAAUUGGUCCCCAUCGAGCGUCUUUAGAACAUUGCACACUGAAAGGACAAAGGCCCCAGAGAACAGGUGUCCCUCCAAAGAGAAAGCAGAGCUGUC